rnacentral:rRNA from 1 species
CCUACGGGUGGCAGCAGUGGGGGAUAUUGGACAAUGGGGGAAACCCUGAUCCAGCGACGCCGCGUGAGUGAAGAAGUAUUUCUGUAUGUAAAGCUCUAUCAGCAGGGAAGAAAGCAAUGACGGUCCCUGAGUAAUAAGCCCCGGCUAACUACGUGCCAGAAGCCGCGGUAAUACGUAGGGGGCAAGCGUUAGCCGGAAUUACUGGGUGUAAGGGGAGCGUAGACGGUAAGGCAAGUCUGGAGUGAAAGGCGGGGGCCCAACCCCCGGACUGCUCUGGAAACUGUGUAACUGGAGUGCAGGAGCGGCAGGCGGAAUUCCUAGGGUAGCGGUGAAAUGCGUAGAGAUUAGGAGGAACACCAGUGGCGAAGGCGGCCUGCCGGACUGUAACUGACGUUGAGGCUCGAAAGCGUGGGGAGCAAACAGGAUUAGAUACCCCAGUAGUC